rnacentral:rRNA from 1 species
AAGACCUUGCGCUUUUGGAGCGGCCGAUGCCUGAUUAGCUUGUUGGUAAGGUAAAAGCUUACCAAGGCUUCGAUCAGUAGCUGGUCUGAGAGGACGACCAGCCACACUGGGACUGAGACACGGCCCAGACUCCUACGGGAGGCAGCAGUGGGGAAUUUUGGACAAUGGGGGCAACCCUGAUCCAGCCAUGCCGCGUGAGUGAAGAAGGCCUUCGGGUUGUAAAGCUCUUUCAGCCGGAACGAAACGGUUACGGAUAACACCCGUGACUACUGACGGUACCGGAAGAAGAAGCACCGGCUAACUACGUGCCAGCAGCCGCGGUAAUACGUGGGGUGCGAGCGUUAAUCGGAAUUACUGGGCGUAAAGCGUGCGCAGGUGGUUUUGUAAGUCAGAUGUGAAAGCCCCGGGCUCAACCUGGGAACU